rnacentral:lncRNA from 1 species
AUGUGGUGUGAUGGGGAGGAAUGUUUAUAUAACUUUGUAUAUGAUUUGGUAUUUAUUGUUUAGCGAAGAACUUAUAGAUAUAGAUUUGUGAAAUUUGGCUAUGUGAGAGUGAUUGUGUAUAUUUAAUGCGUAGUUAUGGGGUUCUGUUUGGGUAGUUACUAAAUUGCGUGAGAGUUUGUGGGAUGUAGCCAGCUUGUUAACCAUGGAUGUCUUCCAUCAACACAUGUGUUGUGAUAUUUGUUGGAGAGGAAAAAUUUAGUUAUGAUCUAAGUUGCUUGCUUAGCAAGAUAGUUCACCUUGGGAUGGUUGGAGAUUGAUGGUGAAAGAUCCUUUCAAAGGUCGAGCAUUGAGUCCAGCAUAAGGCACUGUUUUCCUGACAUCACUUUGUCGAGGUCUCUUCUUUGCCAUUUGGUAAUGAUCAGAGGAGUUCCUAUGCAGCAAAGUAGAGAGCCAAGUAUUUAAGAAAAUUAACAUUUAGGAGUUUCAAUCGUUUAGUUGUGAGAGAGUAGGUGUUGAGAAUAUCUUCAAGCCUCUGUUGUUAUUUGAAACCUUUUCUCUUAUUUGAAACUUUUUUUGUAUGGCGAUUAAUAGAGGGUGUGUUUAUGGAAAAUAAUGACAAACCGUCUUCUUUGUAUAUAGUACUUGAACAAAACACCUACAAACAAUUAUUUUAAUGUAUGAAUAUAUAAUAG